AUUGAACGCUGGCGGCAUGCUUUACACAUGCAAGUCGAACGGCAGCAUGACCUAGCUUGCUAGGUUGAUGGCGAGUGGCGAACGGGUGAGUAAUGCAUCGGAACGUAUCCAAGAGUGGGGGAUAACGCAGCGAAAGUUGUGCUAAUACCGCAUAAGCCCUGAGGGGGAAAGUGGGGGACCGUAAGGCCUCACGCUGAUGGAGCGGCCGAUGUCAGAUUAGCUAGUUGGUGAGGUAAAGGCUCACCAAGGCGACGAUCUGUAGCUGGUCUGAGAGGAUGAUCAGCCACACUGGGACUGAGACACGGCCCAGACUCCUACGGGAGGCAGCAGUGGGGAAUUUUGGACAAUGGGGGCAACCCUGAUCCAGCCAUGCCGCGUGAGUGAAGAAGGCCUUCGGGUUGUAAAGCUCUUUCGCGAGGGAAGAAAGCUUACUCAAUAACACUGGGUGAGGAUGACGGUACCUUGAUAAGAAGCACCGGCUAACUACGUGCCAGCCGCCGCAGUAAGAC
rnacentral:rRNA from 1 species